rnacentral:rRNA from 1 species
CCUACGGGUGGCAGCAGUGGGGGAUAUUACACAAUGGGGGAAACCCUGAUGCAGCGACGCCGCGUGGGUGAAGAAGUAUUUCGGUAUGUAAAGCCCUAUCAGCAGGGAAGAAAGAAGACGGUACCUGACUAAGAAGCCCCGGCUAACUACGUGCCAGCAGCCGCGGUAAUACGUAGGGGGCGAGCGUUAUCCGGAUUCACUGGGUGUAAAGGGAGCGUAGACGGCCGUGCAAGCCAGGAGUGAAAGCCCGGGGCCCAACCCCGGGACUGCUCUUGGAACUGGGCGGCUGGAGUGCGGGAGGGGCAGGCGGAAUUCCUGGUGUAGCGGUGAAAUGCGUAGAUAUCAGGAGGAACACCGGCGGCGAAGGCGGCCUGCUGGACCGCGACUGACGUUGAGGCUCGAAAGCGUGGGGAGCGAACAGGAUUAGAUACCCGAGUAGUC